CAGUCGCCACGGGAAUACGAAGGGUGCAAGCGUUACUCGGAAUUACUGGGCGUAAAGCGUGCGUAGGUGGUGGUUUAAGUCCGUUGUGAAAGCCCUGGGCUCAACCUGGGAAUUGCAGUGGAUACUGGAUCACUAGAGUGUGGUAGAGGAUAGUGGAAUUUCCGGUGUAGCAGUGAAAUGCGUAGAGAUGUGGAGGAACACCAGUGGCGAAGGCGACUCUCUGGUCUGUAACUGACGCUGAGGAGCGAAAGCGUGGGGAGCGAACAGGAUUAGAUACCCCUGUAGUCCCUGUCUCUUAUAC
rnacentral:rRNA from 1 species